AGGGUGAUGCUGAUGGAUUGCUGUGUGGGUGGUGUUGAAGGGGCUGGGGGAGGGGAGCUGGGAUGCAGCUCCUCUAAGUGGUAGCAGAAAUCUCUCUGGGCUGGGCUCAUCAGUUCUCCCUCGGUAAACUCAGCUCAGGAAUCCCCGAGAUCAUGGAACCGGGCAUUGGAAAAGGGGACGCAAUGCAGGGAGAGCUUCAGAGUACAGCCCAAACAACCGGGGAAGAGGGAGGAGCUGGGAGAGACGGAGAAUUCACCCCUCAGCUGUCCGUGCAGGAGGCGCCCAGCGCGGAGGGCGGCCCGGCACACGCAUCUCCCUUCCCGGUGCCGCUUUGCCAGCCCGCGCUCCGCGCAGCCGGAGCCGCUCGGCUCCUUCCCUCAGGGCUGCUCCGGACACCGGGCACCUGCUGAGGGGCUCAGACAUCACCGGCGGGGCACAAGGCAGAGCGGGCUUUGGAACUGAACGUGGCUGCCGGGUGCGGCUGUGGAGCUGGCCGGGCUGCCCCGCAGCAGCAGGCCCGGCCCGGCGGCCUCUGCCCACGGACAGCACCGCCCGCCCGGCCCGGCCCGCACUCCUGCACCGCAGGCUGAGGGGAAAACGGGGUUUUAAUGCCAUCCUGGGCACUAAAAGUGUGCUCACCAAAGCCCCGGGAAAUCCCGGGAACGGUGAGCAGGUGAAAGCUGGGAUCUCCAGUCAAUGUUUGUCGGUUUUGAGCAGCAGACCUUUACUCUGCAAGGCCUGAUAAUGGGGAAGGAGGAAGUGAGAGAAUGCACGUGUGCAAAGCACAGCUGCACGAUCUGUUUCCUUCUCUAACUGCUCUGUGGUCCUUGAAGGGUUUAUAUUUAGUGUGCCUGGCAGGUCAGCCUGCCAGCUGGGCAGCUGCAGGAAAACAUGGAUGGAAUAGGCAGGACUGGCUUUGGAGACUGCAGCAAUUGGGCUGCAUGGGCUUUACAUCUCAGCCUUAGUGCCAGGCUGGGAAUUUGCUCCAUCACAGUGUGCACUGAAACUGGGAAGUGUCUAGGAAUGGUGUGCAGAAGCACAUUUAAGAAGGUAAGACAUCAACUGCUGCAUAGAUCAGUGGUCCAUCCAGCCCUGAGUCUGGCAGUGCUGCCUGCAGAGAGCAGGUGAGCCCAUCCUCUCUGCACUGCCCCAGCACCCCCAGUGCCUGGGCUGGGAUGUUAGAGACUCAUCACUGCCUAGGCCUUCUGCUUAUCGAGCCUCUGCCAGCUCACCCAAAUGUAAAAAGUCUUUCUGGAGUUACUUGCCUGAAAGAACUGUGUGGCACACGAACCUAAGGACUUCACUGUACAUUGCCUGUUCAGGUACUCACUGAAAAUGUUGAGUAAAACCAGUCCCACCAUCAAUCCCACAAUGUGGAGAUCUUGUUGAUGCCUGUUUCCCACCCUGAAAAGUGGCAAUUGAGCCUCAUCUUUUGCUUCAAAUCCUGCCUCAAAUUUUCUAUCUGUAAAGAGUCUUCUCAUCAUGUGUGCUUCUUCCCUCCAUCAAGCUGGUAACAUCUUCUCUGUGUCCACUGCUGCUCUAAGCCUUUCCUGUUUCUGGAAAUGCUGACUACUUUCCCGUGCCUGGAGCCUGCAGCAGCAGUGUGUCUAAACCCAGGCAGCCAACAGCACAGCUUGAGAGUUCAGCUACUGCUGCAAGAUUUUGAAGAAAAGCAGGUUUCACAAGGCUGCAGCUUAAAGGAAAGUAUUUCUAGAAGCCAGUUCCUCUCCAGAGUUUUCAGAGAAGAUGUGUAUGAUCACUGAUACUUUCCAGUCUUGGUUUUUGUUGUAGAGACAUCAGUCAUGUAACACUUUCUACAAAACAGCUUUACUGACAGUUGGGAGUUGUCAGUAACCAUGUGGAUUUCAAGCUCUCAGUCUGGCUAUGAUGAGAAAAACCCUCUGACACAUAAUUUCCACAGAGCCACAGAAUCUGAGGCUGGAAAGACCCAGAGUGCUCAUCUAGCUGACCUCCCACCUGGGCAACCCUGAGGUAAGUCAUGUUUCAAGCCUAACAGCUGCAGAAAACACCAGCUUUUGGGACAAACAUACUCAAUUUAACAGCAUUU